rnacentral:rRNA from 1 species
AAAGGGGUUUCAGCUACUUAAACAAAAGCUUUAAUCACUUGAAUAAAAGUUUAACCUACUUGCAAAAAUAUAAGCUACUUGAUAAAAAAAGUUAAUUGUAAAAAGUAUUGGAUACUUGAAAGAAGUGUAGAUUUUCACCUACUUGAUAAAAGAUUUAUCGAAUUUAAAUAAAAAGUCUUAUAUACUUGAAAAAAACUUUCAAAACUUGGAAAAAUUUUAACUACUUGAAAAAAGUUUGCAUGAUUUCAGGUUUAUUUCUCCGUCGCCUGAAAGGGGAAAGGCUGAAGAAGCCCUCGUCGAGCUGAUCGCAACGUGGUCGUGGACGAGGACGUGGCCGAGGGCGUGGUCGAGGACGUGGCCGAGGGUGUGGUCGAUGACGUGGCCGAGGGCGUGGACGAGUAUCGUUGAGCAGGAAGCAGAGCCUGUACGAGCCGUUACGAAGUAGAAACCGACUCGAGCUGCGGGAGUGCCGGCUGGAUUGGGGCACGUGGUAUAACAUGUGGUAGUCGCCGGUCUUCAAACUGUACCCCUUCCGCUGCUAUCACUUCGGCUUCCUUGUUGACAAGGUGUCGGCCGGCUAGGGGGACUGCAGAAGUUCCAAAGACACCGGUCACAGUUUGGCCCGGUGCUCUUAAACCGAGGAGGCUAUGAUCCCCUCUACUGCUGCUCUGGGGCGCCGCCGAACCGCUAACGUUCUCCACCCAGGACAACACCGGUUUCUCAGACGAAGCAGACCUCCGCCGGCCCUCGUACUCAUCCGGACAACGGCCCUACAGGGUAAUUUUUCCGUCCAGGGUAUAAACUUUAUGUUUUUAUUCUAGUCUAUCGCGAGUUCUCCAAAAAGAGGUAUGCUCUUUAGGAAGUGAGCGUCCCUUAAGUUUAUCUACACAACUUCUAGUAGUUUCUUUCCUCUUCUGAUUCGUCGAGUUAUCCCAGAGCUCAUGCUGAUAUCAUGGUGGGUGUUGGUGCGUUGGAGUCGUUCCAUACUUGUAGUUGUGGGGUGGAUGGGUUAAUCGCAGCGGACAGCACAGCCCACUAUCGCCUGCCCCACUCCUUCUCCGAAGUAAUCAGCGACUACUGCAGCGGCGGCAGCUUCUUCGUUACGUACUAUAGCUACGGUAGCUUAUCCUACUCCUACUGCUACUGUGAGAUGUCAUAGAUUUAUGACCGCGGAUACUGCUACCUCCUAACUACCGAGUCGUCAUACUCAUGAGUCCCAAACUCGCAGUACUCAGCCACGGACUUAACGGCCUCCUACUUGCAUAAUAUAUAUUAGAAGGUCAUCGUUUCUUCGUAUCCUUCCCUGGCUCCUUUCCGUUGUUUCAACGAAGAUACUAGGUCGGCGGAGUCGUCGGAGCCCAAGUUCUAGCAUAUCGAUAGGAGCCACGCCGUUUUACGGUAUAGGGGCCAGUAGGCUAGGAUGGAUUCCGUCGCCAUCUCCGGUAUAUACCACUAGAUUCCUCUGAAGUACUACUACACGACGCCUCUCUCUUUUCGGAUUAGCGGAGUCUUUUAGGUCCUAUGGGUAACAUGCACCAAUUGCACGGUGCCGUUUCCAAAAUGCAGCUGUAUAAGGGGCGCCUUUUAAAGAAGGAAGCUAAGCUAAUGUAGAAGCUGUGUAAAGUGAACUUUUUCGACCUAAAAUGCAAACAGGCGGAAAAACGGAACAUGUACUUGAUGUAAUAGCCCUAACUCGUCUAUGGAAUAUAGACACAGCGACUGGGCAUGAAGUACGUGCUCCCGAAGAACCGUCAGACGGGUCUCGUGGCACUCCCUGAUGUAGCGCUAAAGUACCAGCGGUUAUUCCUGUUCCUCUGCUAAGAGCACGGAAUAGUAGGGUAGGUGCCCUCGCGGCAGGAGUAGUAGGAAAUGGGGGCUAAGAGGGUGCGAGAAACGAACCUAAGCAGCUUCUUGUACUUGUUUUCCUAAUGUGGGUGUAGUUCAAACAAGAACUGUCACGAUAGAAAUAGAUGCCGCAUGCCCCACCUCUCUAGUUCUGGUCCUUCUGUUCCUUGGCGUCCAGGCGGAAGCCGGUAUUAUGGCUGAAGACGACGUAGGUCGUUGGCUCACCAUGAGAAUCACUACCUAAGAUACAGGAUGUGGUGUACGACCUCAUGUCUGUCCUAAUCGUCUUGGAAGCGUACAGUGGAUGUAGGCCACUACGGGUAUAAGACGUUACCCAUUUCUUGGAUCCUCUAUAGGACCUAGUAGUUGAAGCUCGACUCAAGAUAGUGUAGGUUACACUUGAACGGUUUUAGUAGUACUUCCUCCAGGAGCUUUUUUGUCCCUACAAAAUGCUUUUUCCCGUUUACGGCGGCCUUCUGCAGGCUUGUGCGCAUCGGCGAGUCGCAGAGCUGGACUUCGGAAAGUGAUUCGAGCCCCUGAUAGAUGGACUGAACCUACCUACCGUGCUGUACAACCUCACUAACUGCUAUAUACUGUUACACAGGUAAAUCAGGUAUGAAAGACAUAGUGUUUUGAAACUCAAUACGUGCUACUUUGAAAUAAACACUACAUUAAUUUGGCAGGAGGAGUCGAUCGUUUCUAGUGAGAUCAAUCCCGUAAAACCCAUGCUACUUGAAACAAUAAAUACGAAUACUAUACAACGAAGGUAAAAACGGUUCAAACAGAGAAAGACAACGGGUUGAUAUAUAGAAAGUAUAGUAGCUGAGUACACUGCUACAUCCACGUAUCUAGUAGCUACCGCUUCUUCACGAUGCGGUCCUCAUAUGCUGCUCACCGGCCUCACAGUCCGGGUCCACAUGGCCAAAGGCUCGCUGUCCGUCAUCAAUCAAAUCUUUUAUCUUUUGUGGGAAUUUUUUUCUUUUAUCCUUUGUGGCUUCGUUGCUCUAAUUAACGCACAGCGGUCCUUAUCUGGGCGGGAACCUAAAGUAAGCGAGCCACCGGAGGCUCUACUUCUUGAGGUCGUCGGAGUACAGCUCCACUGGAGGUGGCCGAGGACGCUGCGGUGGUGGAGAUGCCGUUGUAGAGGUAAGUAGCGGC